UGUUCUUAUUAACUUUUAUUUUCUAGUUUUAGUUUAUAUUUUAGUUUAUAGUUUCUCAUAUUAGCCUAGCUUGUGCCUUAGGUUACCUUAGUCUUCCAAUUUGCCUUAGCCUUUCAUUAGUUUAUGCCUUAGUUUAGGUUAUUUAUAUGUUAUUUAUAUCUUAUGUAUUUAGCUUAUCUUUAGAUUUUCAUCUUGUGUCUAAGUAUCUGUUAGUUUGUCCUUCAUCUCCGUUCUAUAAGUCUACCUGUUAGUCCCUUUAUCUCGUUUCCUGUGUCUAUCUAUCAUCUGUUUAGGUAUUAUCUAUAGACUUGAUUUCAUUUACUCCUCAAUCAUAAUCAUUUUACUUUUACUCUUGUAUUCAGACUGUU
rnacentral:lncRNA from 1 species